rnacentral:rRNA from 1 species
CCUACGGGGGGCAGCAGUGAGGAAUAUUGGUCAAUGGACGCAAGUCUGAACCAGCCAUGCCGCGUGCAGGAAGACGGCUCUAUGAGUUGUAAACUGCUUUUGUACGGGGGAAAACGCAGAUAAGCGUAUCUGUCUGAAAGUAUCGUACGAAUAAGGAUCGGCUAACUCCGUGCCAGCAGCGGCGGUAAUACGGAGGAUUCAAGCGUUACCCGGAUUUAUUGGGUUUAAAGGGUGCGUAGGCGGUCGGAUAAGUUAGAGGAGAAAUCCCUAGGCUCAACUUCGGAAUUGCCUCUGAUACUGUUCGACUAGAGAGUAGUUGAGGUAGGCGGAAUGUAUGGUGUAGCGGUGAAAUGCUUAGAGAUCA